CAGCAGCCACGGUAAAACGUAGGUGGCAAGCGUUGUCCGGAAUUAUUGGGCGUAAAGGGCUCGCAGGCGGUUUCUUAAGUCUGAUGUGAAAGCCCCCGGCUCAACCGGGGAGGGUCAUUGGAAACUGGGAAACUUGAGUGCAGAAGAGGAGAGUGGAAUUCCACGUGUAGCGGUGAAAUGCGUAGAGAUGUGGAGGAACACCAGUGGCGAAGGCGACUCUCUGGUCUGUAACUGACGCUGAGGAGCGAAAGCGUGGGGAGCGAACAGGAUUAGAGACCCCUGUAGUCCCUGUCUCUUAUAC
rnacentral:rRNA from 1 species